GGCAGAGGCUGAGAAAGUGAGAGAAAUGUUGAGAAAGUGAGAGAAAUUUUGAGAGAACAAGUGAUAGAAAGAGCAGUUGAGAGAGAGGUUGAUAGAGAAGUGUCAUUGUUUGUCCCAUCGAGACGUUCAAACUGUAGUGAGCUGCAAGUCUCUCCGAGUUGGACAGGGGAGUGCUGCCUAAGCGCCCGCUGCAGAUGCUUUGUGUAACAAACGGUACAUACAGCAACCAUACAACAGCUGCACCGCAGUAAAACAGGCCUCUGCUUAGCCACACAUCCUCCUCACAUCCUCCCCACAACCUCCUCACAUCCUCCCCACAACCUCUGCAUGUAUGUGUUGUGAUAACAUCCCUUUUUAAAGGAUUUAUUAAGUGUUUCCCAUUAGGCCAUACAGCAGAAAUGUGCCCUAAGAUGGCGUUUUGGAAUUAUCAUAUUGUAAUAUGGAAUUUAGCUGAUGCUUUUAUCUAAUCUAAAGAUACAAUUAUGCACACAUCUUGCGCAUAUAUUUAGUUGUACAUAUAUGUUGUAGUUGUACAUAUAUAUUGCCAUUAUUCACUGUCAUAACGUAGAUACUAAAGAUGGUAGCUAAACCGUUUCUUAAAUUCACCCUCUGAGAUUCUGUGUACAUUGGGUGCACGGCUGACACCUUGUGUGUGUCCCCCCCAAAUGGCACCCUAUUCCCUAUAGUGCACUACUUAUGUCAUAAACAAAGUUAUGCAACACCCGAUGACCCCAUGUGAAAAAUAAUUGCCCCCUUACACUCUCAAUAACCGGUUGUACCACCUUUAGCUCCAAUGACUCCAACCUAACACAGAGAAUUCUACAGGAGAAUUUCAUGCUGCAAGACAACUUUUUUUUUACAGCACUGCAUGUGUAAGGAUAUGGUGACUAGGCAAGUUGCAUUCAGACCUGGAUUCGAUUAUACUAUUUUACAUUUUUCAAAUACUUUGUGUUUUCUUCACCUUAUCUGGAGUGUACCUUUGCCCCUAGGCAAGGCAAAUCAAGCCCAAAUAAAGUAUUUGAAAUGAUUUCAAAUAGUAUUUGAACUCUGGUUGCAUUGCACUGAAUCUUAAUGGGCAUCUUGAAUAUGUGUAGACUCUUUUUCAAAACUUUUCCACUCUCCGUUCAUAUUUUAUUGUUUAUUUGUAGAGACAGCCAUGAAUGAAGGAGAGAGGGAUAAUAGGGGAAGAUGGAGAUUUGACAAGGCCGGUGGGCGUCGAGACAGGUGGAAUGACACACGAGUGAGACAGGCGAGAGGUGUCGCUCCCAGUUACACUAACCGAUGGGCCUUGUCACAAUCUGUGAAGUUUGAGCUUUUCACACAAAGCAAUGCAGUACCCUUAUAUACAUUAUUAGUAAUAAUAUGAUCAUUUGGUUAUUUAGCUUAGCCACAACCUGUUAAGCUAGCGCCUUCCACACUAACAACAUAACAUCCUGUCUUAUACAGGACUAGUAAUAAUAUAAUAUGGUAAUUUAGCUUCGGCGCUACCUGUGUCGCUCGCGCUUUCCACACAUAGCAAUGUAGAAUCCUUUCUACAGUACUAGUAUACAGUAUAUUUGUUGGUAAUUGACUUAGCCAUAACAUGUGAAGCUUGCGCUUUCCACACAUAGCCUAGCAAUGUGGCAUGCUCCCUCUGCUCUUAUACAGUACUAGUAAUAAUGAUUAUGGUCAUUUAGCUUAGCCACAACUUGUGUAGCUAGCGCUCUCCACACAAAGCAACAUACUAGCAUCCUCUCUUAAACAGUAGCCUACUAUGCAGACCCUGGCAACAUCUCUGAUCCAGUGCCACUAUGACUAUGAUUGUAUCUCAUGGUCCAGUGGCAUAAAACAAAUCUGAAAGACAAACUUCAAAUGGCCCAAAACCAACUGAUGAGAAUUAUACUCAAGCUCAGCCCUAGAAUGCACAUUUGUCCUAAUAAAUUCAGGGAACUGAACUGACUUCCAGUUGAUCUCCGGGUGGUGCAGAUCAAACUGUUAAUUUAAAAAGUUAUACAUGACCUUGCCCCCAGUUACCUGUCUGGUUAUUUUAAUUGAAUUAGAGACUCUCGUAGCCAUCACACCAGAGCCAGUGUUACCAAUAUCAGACCGCUGCACGAUAGGAGCAUGGCUGGAAAAAGCUAUUUUCUUAACACUGGUGCAGAGGAAUGGAAUGGUGUACCAAACCAUAUAAAAUCCAUCCCUACGCAAGGGAGUUUUAUGAUAAACCUUAAAGGGAUAGUUCACCCAAAUGACCAAAUAACAUAUUGGUUUAUGACAACAAUCUAUGCUUUGGUUUAGUUUCCCUGGGACUGUUCCAAGUGCACUAGAAGAUAUCCCUCUAGUGGUGUGGGGGCUGUGCUUUGGCAAAGUGGGUGGGGUUAUAUCCUUCCUGUUUGGCCCUGUCCGGGGGUGUCCUCGGAUGGGGCCACAGUGUCUCCUGACCCCUCCUUUCUCAGCCUCCAGUAUUUAUGCUGCAGUAGUUUGUGUCGGGGGGCUGGGGUCAGUUUGUUAUAUCUGGAGUACUUCUCCUGUCCUAUUCGGUGUCCUGUGUGAAUCUAAGUGUGCGUUCUCUAAUUCUCUCCUUCUCUCUUUCUUUCUCUCUCUCGGAGGACCUGAGCCCUAGGACCAUGCCCCAGGACUACCUGACAUGAUGACUCCUUGCUGUCCCCAGUCCACCUGGCCAUGCUGCUGCUCCAGUUUCAACUUCCACCUGACUGUGCUGCUGCUCUAGUUUCAACUGUUCUGCCUUAUUAUUAUUCGACCAUGCUGGUCAUUUAUGAACAUUUGAACAUCUUGGCCAUGUUCUGUUAUAAUCUCCACCCGGCACAGCCAGAAGAGGACUGGCCACCCCACAUAGCCUGGUUCCUCUCUAGGUUUCUUCCUAGGUAUUGGCCUUUCUAGGGAGUUUUUCCUAGCCACCGUGCUUCUACACCUGCAUUGCUUGCUGUUUGGGGUUUUAGGCUGGGUUUCUGUACAGCACUUUGAGAUAUCAGCUGAUGUACGAAGGGCUAUAUAAAUAAAUUUGAUUUGAUUUGUGGCACAAAUCCCAUUCCAGUUAUGGGACCGAUAUUAGCAUUUUUCGCACAUCAUAUUCAAAACAUCUAUAAGUGACUUUGUUAAGCUAAUAAAAAUGCUAAUAUCGGUCCCAUGACUUGAUUAGGAUUUGUCCCACAAAACCAUAUCAUGCAUUGCUGUCAUACCUUGUCCAUAGACUGCUUACAGGGUAAGGAAACCAUUGUGUCAUUUUGUAAUUUGGUGAACUAUCCCUUUAAGAAAUGGUUUAUGAGCUAAAUGUUUUAAAGCGACAGGCUAAAAGAAAGUAUAAUUGUAUCAAUGAACGUCACUUGGUCAUCUAUUUUAUUCCGUUUGCUCUUUCUUCCCUAUUGAUGAUGUAUUUUGUUUUCAUGUUGUAUAUUUUGGUUUUAAAGUAUUUUCAAGAGGACCCCAAUGAAAAUACAUUUUUAAACUCAUCCUCCAUGAUUUUAAUGCCAUUGCACUAUAUCCACGUGUGUGGUUGUAUUGUGUUUAAAUGGUCCCUCCAAAAAAAAAUCUAUGGUAAUUUAGUGUAGCCACAACCUUUGCAGCUAGCACUUUCUACACAACGCAAUGUAGCAUUCACUCUUAUACAGUACUACUAAUAUGAUAUCAUUUUGAUGCAUACAUUUUAGCAGACCCUGUCAAAGCAACUUACAGUACACUGGGUAUAGGUUAACUGUAUGUGGCCCAUGCAGGAAUCAAACCCACAAACUAUUGUAUUGCAAGCAUCAUGACUUAAUUGAGCCAUUGGAACCACCAAUGGUAAAUUGAGUAGCUUACUGCUGAGCAUAGUGUGUUUGAGAGGUUUUUGUUCACUAGCAGGAACCCCUUUCAGCUUUGAUAUUUGUCUGUGUUUGUUUUUUAAUGUUCAGCCAACAUUCUUCCUACCUAUCGAGAGGUUUUGCAGAGUGCUAAUUCAUAAAACAUAAAUAGCCUUUUUUUUCUCCGACACAAUCACUCUGCAAUUUGUUUGUUGGAACUGCCCUCAGCGCACGACCCCGGUAUGCACUAAAUAAUUUACAACCAAAACACGGAGAAUCGAGAUUGGAGAAACAGGCAGCUAAGUUAUUUUACAAAAAGGAACAUGGCUCCACUAAUAUUUUUAGACAAGAAAGCGGAGGUGGUUGGGUACUUUCACAGCAUCUUCCAAAGAACGGACACAAAUUCUACCUUUGAACGAUCAACAUUAGUCUAGCGCCAUCUUUACAGUCAAUAAGCCUUUUUUGUAAAACCGUGUAUUUGUAAAUCGUCUCCCUCAUCCCCAACCACCCCCUGCCAAGUACCCCUUGUGUUCAAAUGUAAACAGCAUCUCAUUUUCUGUUUUAUCUCUAAUUAUCUCCUGUCAUUUUCUCGCAACAGGAGUCUUCUGAAAUCGGUGGAGGAGGAGCUAAACCAGAGGGGAUACGAGACUCAUUUAGAUGAUGAUGAUGAUUGUGGUGAUAAUGAUGGUGGUGUGACCAUGAUGAUGAAAUGCAACAGUAAGUCCUACUGUCUUCAACCUCUUUCUCCUUUCAACUUAACUGUCCUCUUAACAUUUCAUCUAUAAUUUGUAUCUAUACAUUUUUUGUUAUGCAAAUUAUAGGAACUGGCUACUCUACCAGGGGCCAGGUUCAUGUUCAUUAAGCGUUUCUUAUUGGACAAGUCCAGGUAGUCCGUCUUUUUAUUUACUAUGUUUUCUUCCAUUUGAUGCCUUAUAAUGCCAAAUAGUGCCUAAUGAACGUGACCCAGGAUAUACACUGAGUGUAUGAACACCUGCUCUUUCCAUGACAGACUGAAUCCAGUGCCAAGGGCUCCACAAUGCGGCCCAAAGAGCCUCCACCACCUCCUCCCAACGUCAAGCCCAUUCCCAUUCCACAGGAUGUUGCCAACUCCCCUGCACACCAUGGCUCCCCUGCUCA